rnacentral:rRNA from 1 species
UAAUAGUGUAUAUUAAAGUUGUUGCAGUUAAAAAGCUCGUAGUUGAAUGUUGGUGUCGAACGAGCGGUCAGCUUCGGCUGUACUGCUCUCUCAACUCCUUCCUUCUGUGGACUACGUCGCACUUUACUGUGUGGCGCUAGGACGCAGAUCGUUUACUGUGAAAAAAUUAGAGUGUUCAAAGCAGGCCGUACGCUUGAAUACAUUAGCAUGGAAUAAUGGAAUAGGACGUCGGGCCUAUUUUGUUGGUUCUAGGACCGUCGUAAUGAUUAAUAGGGACAGUUGGGGCCGUUUAUAUUCCGUAGUCAGAGGUGAAAUUCUUGGAUUUACGGAAGAUAAACUACUGCGAAAGCAUUCGGCAAGGAUGUUUUCGUUAA